rnacentral:rRNA from 1 species
CCUACGGGAGGCAGCAGUGAGGAAUAUUGGUCAAUGGGCGCGAGCCUGAACCAGCCAAGUAGCGUGAAGGAUGACUGCCCUAAGGGUUGUAAACUUCUUUUAUCAAGGAAUAAAGUGAGGCACGUGUGCCCUUUUGUAUGUACUUUAUGAAUAAGGAUCGGCUAACUCCGUGCCAGCAGCCGCGGUAAUACGGAGGAUCCGAGCGUUAUCCGGAUUUAUUGGGUUUAAAGGGAGCGUAGAUGGGUUGUUAAGUCAGUUGUGAAAGUUUGCGGCUCAACCGGAAAAUUGCCAUUGAUACUGGCAGUCUUGAGUACAGUUGAGGUAGGCGGAAUUCGUGGUGUAGCGGUGAAAUGCUUAGAUAUCACGAAGAACUCCGAUUGCGAAGGCAGCUUACUAAACUGCCACUGACAUUGAGGCUCGAAAGUGUGGGUAUCGAACAGGAUUAGAUACCCUGGUAGUC